AAAUAAUCGAUUUUAAAUACGCUAUCCCCCACAAAGAUUUUGAUUCCAUUACUCCACCGUGCCAUUAAUUCGAAGUGUGACACAAGUUUAAGCCAUGGAUAUUAAAAGGAAAGCAACAAAGGAGAUCCGUCGAUGGGAUUUGGAGUUUAAAAGGCUUUUAAGUGAACAUGAAGCGACUCUAAUUGAAAUUUUGGAUUACAGUACUAAGACUUCUCCAGAUUAUAUGCUGAGUGUUUUAGAUCUGGCCAAAAAAAGGGGUUCAAUUGAAGAAUUUCUUUUAGGCGUUGCCAAAAAAAUCGUCGAAAUAAAAAUCAAAAUAUUGGAACUUGAAGAAGACCAGAACAAAAAAAAAAACAAACGAAAAGAGCUAUCAAUCCUUGUGGACGUUUUGCGGCAGUACACAAUUUUUGACGAGAAGGUAGAAAAAGGCGUUGGUAUGAUGAAUGUCAAAUCGGAGCAAAUGAUUGCGAAGGCUUUUUUGUCUCGACUCUUGCAACAUCAGUUAAUUUUUCAUUUCAAAUAGUUUUUGAAAAAAAGAAAAAAAGUUAAAUAAAUAACUAAA
rnacentral:sRNA from 1 species